rnacentral:lncRNA from 1 species
CCAUUUAAAUGUAAGGUGGUGGGUUUUUAUUGAUGCACUUUGAAGUAUUGAAAUCCCCAUUUUCUCUCUUUUACAGUUAGAUGGAAUUUGUAUAAAUUUAAGUCAUUUUAAUUUAUUAGUUAAGAUAAUUGCAUUGUUUUUUAGAAGUCAUAAAAAAGAGGUUUCAGUAACAUUUUUUUAUGCUUCAUCAAGCAACAUUGAAAUUCACGUAGAUCAAUUUUCACCAAUCGAUAUGUUCAACUAUAGAUGGUUCCCUAAACAACCAUUGCCCAACAAAUUUAAGGUUUUAUAUCCUGGCACCAUUUUCUACAGCAAAUAUCUAAGCACCAAGAAAAUUAUCUUUACUUAAUUCUGUUUUUUAGGCAUUAUUGUAUUUUAUUUUUAUAUGCUCUCUAUUUUUUUUUAUCUAUUCGUUUGUUUCUCUUUUUUUUCUUUCUUUGAACGCAUUAGCAUUGGCCUCUUUUUGGAUGAUGAGCCUCCCCAAAACAACCAUGAAAAAGACGCGAUUCAAAGCACUGAAGUCUGGUGGUGCUGCAUCUUAACCUGUGACAAAAGAUCUGAGUUUUCCUAUUCCAGAAUCUUGCCCAACUUUCCUCCUCCAACUCCUCUUCAGCCACAGUGAUACAAAUUGAAAGUAUUUUAUUUUACUUAAUGACUUUUUAUUUAUGUAAAUUAUUCAGUGAAACUACUUUACUUCUCUUUCUAUUAAGUAUCACUCUUAAUUAAAAUACUGACAAAGCAUUUAUUGUAAAUCUUACUAUCAUUUUUAGAAUCAUGUACGUCCAAAAAAUUUUGGAACUUGGCCAAAAGAACAACAAUUUUUGUUGUAUCGUACAAAUAUUUCAAACACACUCAUUUUUUUUGAAAUAACUGAACAAUGGUGUAAUCGUGUUUGUACUGAAGUACAAAUAGGGCAGUUAUGGAAAAGAAUUCAGAUCCAAAGGAAUGUAAAGGGCGAAAAACAAACCUCAUGAAAGCAUCAUAUGAUAUUAUUAUUUUUUAAUUAAUCAAAGACAACGUUUAUCGAUCAACGAUGAGUAUAACAAUGGCUUGCUUACUACGUCAAAGCUCUACUCAAGCUUUUUUUUAGGUUGUCCUUUUUCUUCUCUCGCUAAUUUUUAUAAUCUCUUUUCUUUUUCAUCAUUGACUAAAAUGAAAAGAGCCUCUAAGUCUGGGUCAAAGAGUGGGUGGGUUGGUGAUUUUUGAAGGCAAAAAGAAUGCAAAAUGAUCAGGGGAAGAAGUAUUGAAGAUAAUAGGUGAAACUAGAUGAACAUGGAUCUUGAUAGCCGUCUAUCGAAUUUUACUAUUUUCUUCCCCUGAGAAAUA